CAUAUAUCUCCCAAGCAAAGGAUUUUUUCUUCCUGUGCAAAUCAGCUGUUCUGCUUGGUGUUGGGGGAUUGGGAAGCAACAGCUCCAGCUUUUCCUCAUCUUUGUCUCCCCUGUGGGCUGGAGAACUAUUUCAUGGAGAAUGCUCUGUUAUCACAUGUGAUGAGGUCUAUUUGAUAUCGGCUAUAACAACAAAGCUUCACAGUUUUCCAGUAAAGAGGAGUUAUUAAAUAGUUCUGAUUACACAUCAUCCCCAGAUGGGGAAACCAAUUUUCAGCUGAAUUCCCUAACUUCUUGACAAUGAAGAAGAGGUGGU